ensembl:scaRNA
ACUUUAAAGAAUGUAUUUCCAUGGCUAGACAAAAGGGUGAAGAGAGCAGCCCUUAUCAGAGAAAACCACGGGGCUCACUGUACUGCCCAACAUUU